rnacentral:rRNA from 1 species
AGUGAACGCUGGCGGCAGGCCUAAUACAUGCAAGUCGAACGGCAGCACAGUGGAGCUUGCUCCAUGGGUGGCGAGUGGCGGACGGGUGAGGAAUACAUGGGAAUCUGCCCAGUCGUGGGGAUAACGUAUGGAAACGUACGCUAAUACCGCAUAAUGUCGUAAGACCAAAGAUUUAUCGGCAAAGGAUGAGCCCGCGUAAGAUUAGCUUGUUGGUGAGGUAAAGGCUCACCAAAGCGACGAUCUUUAGCUGGUCUGAGAGGAUGAUCAGCCACACUGGGACUGAGACACGGCCCAGACUCCUACGGGAGGCAGCAGUGGGGAAUAUUGGACAAUGGGCGAAAGCCUGAUCCAGCAAUGCCGCGUGAGUGAUGAAGGCCUUAGGGUGUAAAGCUCUUUACCGGGAUGAUAAUGACAGUACCUGGAGAAUAAGCUCCGGCUAACUCCGUGCCAGCAGCCGCGGUAAU